AGCCUGUUAGUUUAUAUAAAAUGUUUAUUUGUGGGAUAAAAGAUUAAAAGGCUA
rnacentral:tRNA from 1 species